GAUGAACGCUGGCGGCGUGCCUAAUACAUGCAAGUCGAGCGAACAGAUAAGGAGCUUGCUCCUUUGACGUUAGCGGCGGACGGGUGAGUAACACGUGGGUAACCUACCUAUAAGACUGGGAUAACUUCGGGAAACCGGAGCUAAUACCGGAUAACAUUUGGAACCGCAUGGUUCUAAAGUGAAAGAUGGUUUUGCUAUCACUUAUAGAUGGACCCGCGCCGUAUUAGCUAGUUGGUAAGGUAACGGCUUACCAAGGCGACGAUACGUAGCCGACCUGAGAGGGUGAUCGGCCACACUUGAACUGAGACACGGUCCAGACUCCUACGGGAGGCAGCAGGAGGGAAUCUUCCGCAAUAGGCGAAAGCCUGACGGAGCAACGCCGCGUGAGUGAUGAAGGGGUUCGGCUCGUAAAACUCUGUUAUUAGGGAAGAACAAAUGUGUAAGUAACUGUGCACGUCUUGACGGUACCUAAUCAGAAAGCCACGGCUAACUACGUG
rnacentral:rRNA from 1 species